rnacentral:rRNA from 1 species
GAGUGGAUCCCUUCGGGGUGAAGCUCGUGGAACGAGCGGCGGACGGGUGAGUAACACGUGGGCAACCUGCCUGUAAGAUCGGAAUAACCCCGGGAAACCGGGGCUAAUGCCGGGUAAUACUUUCUUUCGCAUGAAGGAAAGUUGAAAGAUGGCUUCUUGCUAUCACUUACAGAUGGGCCCGCGGCGCAUUAGCUAGUUGGUGAGGUAACGGCUCACCAAGGCGACGAUGCGUAGCCGACCUGAGAGGGUGAUCGGCCACACUGGGACUGAGACACGGCCCAGACUCCUACGGGAGGCAGCAGUAGGGAAUCUUCCGCAAUGGACGAAAGUCUGACGGAGCAACGCCGCGUGAACGAUGAAGGUCUUCGGAUCGUAAAGUUCUGUUGUUAGGGAAGAACAAGUACCGUGCGAAUAGAGCGGUACCUUGACGGUACCUAACGAGGAAGCCCCGGCUAACUACGUGCCAGCAGCCGCGGUAAUACGUAGGGGGCAAGCGUUGUCCGGAAUUAUUGGGCGUAAAGCGCGCGCAGGCGGUUCCUUAAGUCUGAUGUGAAAGCCCACGGCUCAACCGUGGAGGGUCAUUGGAAACUGGGGAACUUGAGGACAGAAGAGGAGAGUGGAAUUCCACGUGUAGCGGUGAAAUGCGUAGAUAUGUGGAGGAACACCAGUGGCGAAGGCGACUCUCUGGUCUGUUUCUGACGCUGAGGUGCGAAAGCGUGGGUAGCAAACAGGAUUAGAUACCCUGGUAGU